UAGGAACUCUUAUCCCUGAGGUGAGGAUA
rnacentral:piRNA from 1 species